rnacentral:rRNA from 1 species
AACGAACGCUGGCGGCAUGCCUAACACAUGCAAGUCGAACGAGAUCUUCGGGUCUAGUGGCGCACGGGUGCGUAACGCGUGGGAAUCUGCCCUUUGGUUCGGAAUAACAGUUGGAAACGACUGCUAAUACCGGAUGAUGACGAAAGUCCAAAGAUUUAUCGCCAGAGGAUGAGCCCGCGUAGGGUUAGCUUGUUGGUGGGGUAAAGGCCUACCAAGGCGACGAUCUUUAGCUGGUCUGAGAGGAUGAUCAGCCACACUGGGACUGAGACACGGCCCAGACUCCUACGGGAGGCAGCAGUGGGGAAUAUUGGACAAUGGGCGAAAGCCUGAUCCAGCAAUGCCGCGUGAGUGAUGAAGGCCUUAGGGUUGUAAAGCUCUUUUACCAGGGAUGAUAAUGACAGUACCUGGAGAAUAAGCUCCGGCUAACUUCGUGCCAGCAGCCGCCGUAAGAC